GACGAACGCUGGCGGCGUGCCUAACACAUGCAAGUCGAACGGGGGAAUUUCUUCGGAGAUUACUUAGUGGCGAACGGGUGAGUAACGCGUGAGAAACCUGCCUUUCAGUGGGGGACAACAGUUGGAAACGACUGCUAAUACCGCAUAAUGUCAUUUGGGGGCAUCCCUGAAUGACCAAAGAUUUAUUGCUGAAAGAUGGUCUCGCGUCUGAUUAGCUAGUUGGUGAGGUAACGGCUCACCAAGGCGACGAUCAGUAGCCGGUCUGAGAGGGUGGCCGGCCACAUUGGGACUGAGAUACGGCCCCCGCUCCUACGGGAGGCAGCAGUGGGGAAUCUUGGUCAAUGGGGGAAACCCUGACCCAGCAACGCCGCGUGAAGGCCGCCCUCCUUCGGGUUGUAAACUUCUUUUCCCAGGGACGAACAAAUGACGGUACCUGGAGAAAAAGCAACGGCUAACUACGUGCCAGCAGCCGCUGUAAUAC
rnacentral:rRNA from 1 species